GUACAUGAUUAUGGCAUAGCAUUAAUGCACCAUAUCCCAUUAUAACUCUGCAAUUAAGCACCCUCGAGCUAGAAUAGUACUAGGAUGGGUGAUUGUCCGGGAAGUCCUAGCAUUUUACAUG
rnacentral:rRNA from 1 species